rnacentral:rRNA from 1 species
CCUACGGGCGGCAGCAGUAGGGAAUAUUGCUCAAUGGGGGAAACCCUGAAGCAGCAACGCCGCGUGGAGGAUGAAGGUUUUCUGAUUGUAAACUCCUUUUGUUAGAGAAGAUAAUUACGGUACCUGACUAAGAAGCUCCGGCUAAAUACGUUCCAGCAGCCGCGGUAAUACGUAUGGAGCAAGCGUUAUCCGGAUUUACUGGGUGUAAAGGGAGCGUAGGCGGUAAGGCAAGUCUGAUGUGAAAGGCCAGGGCUCAACCCUGGGACUGCAUUGGAAACUGUUUAACUGGAGUGUCGGAGAGGCAAGUGGAAUUCCUAGUGUAGCGGUGAAAUGCGUAGAUAUUAGGAGGAACACCAGUGGCGAAGGCGGCUUGCUGGACGAUGACUGACGCUGAGGCUCGAAAGCGUGGGGAGCAAACAGGAUUAGAUACCCUUGUAGUC